GCCAGGCACGCUGGCGCAUGCCUAUAAUCUCAGUGGCUCGGGAGGCUGAGGCAGGAGGAUCGCAAGUUCAAAGUCAGCCUCAGCAACAGCGAGGCAUUAAGCAACUCAGUGAGACCCUGUCUCUA
rnacentral:sRNA from 1 species